CAGCAGCAUUCCACUCUCCUCGACAUGCUCAGAUUCCCGUCAGCCUGGCCCCACUGCUCCUGAAGCCUGGCUCCAUCUUGAUGCCUUCAUAGCAUUGUCGACAAAAUGGGCGUGUUUAACUUGUCACCUCAAGCCAGAUGUUGCUGAACUACAACUCUGAUCAUCCUCAGCCACACAUUCCUGUUUUUAUUCCAUGUGACCUUUCUCCAGAGUGAAAUAGAAGGAAGAAAGAACCCAAGAUCUUCUCCUAUUGUUUAACAAUAGCUCUGCAUUAAGCUUUACCACCCGGAAAACCUGGGCCUGAGGAAAGAGAGUAACUCCCUAGUAAUGCCAUAGGUGACUAUCGAAAGCAACCCUGGAGAUUUAAGGGCUUGAUAUUUUGAGGGGGGAAACCUGGGGAAAGUUGGAAAAAUCCAACAAUGUGGGCAAAUCUACUUCUUCCCCAAACUGGAAAAAUCUCCUAUUCUCCAGCAAUAGCUUCAUUUGAAAACCUGCCCUGGUAUGAUGUAAAAUUCAGUAAAAUGUUCAGUCUGCAUAGGGUCUUGCAGAUUGAAAACCCUGGGGACCAUCUCCACCAAAAAUCCCAAUG